CUCUCAGCGAUCCUCAAGGAGGGACAAGCAAACCACAGAGACUCCCGACAAUUGCUGGAGUUCAAGGCCCUGGUGCCUGGCAUUUUUGUGAAUUGUUAAGUGGGAUUCUCUGCAGGGUGGCACAGAAUCCUCACCUCUUCUCCCAACUCUUAGGUUACAGUUGAUGCCCACGGUGGGUAUGGCAAAGAAUGCCGCCUCCAGCCUUUCCACAGGAGCUCCAUGCCUUUUGGUUCUUCUGAGUUAUCUGAGAUCCACUGUGUGUGCUGGGGCCACCGAAGUUGCAAGUGCAGGAGGGGGUUUCUGCGCAGCUGGAGGGAGGCACUCUGGAUGAAUCACUGGGUCACCUGUGUGGCCGCCUUGUACAAUAAAUAGUUCCUCCCUUUCCUGCCUACCAGAGGAGCUUCAACAGUUGCUAUAGGAUGGCCUGUCCAUCAGAACAAAAGAGGAGGGGAAGAUGCCAGAGGGAAUCCCUGGUGAGGCCCUCAGUCCUCAGGCCCCCUGUGAUCCACAGGAAUCCUAAACCAAGUCCCUAGGCUCCAAGUUGAUGGGCACAGUGCCAGCCAGACCCUGCAUGUGGGCGGUCUCAGACAGCUUCAGAGCUCCUUGGACUUUGCGCUGGAGACUGCUCAUACUGUGCGCUGAAGACUGCGUCCCCCUGGUGCUCUUUGCAAGCCCCCAACCAUGCUGGGACCUCUUUGCCCUUGAACUUCCUUUACUGCAUUUUAUGGUAUUUAGGAACUUCCAGGAUCAAGGCAGUCACAACCACUCACGUUUUCACAUGUUUUACCCCUUUGUUCUUGUUUUGUUUUAAGGCAAGAUUUCAUACCAUUUCCUGAAUUGUAGAAUUUACAACAAUUCCUUCUCUCCCUGAUCUACCUGUUGGGAGAGAGAAAAACCAGUUUUCUUUAGUGCAAUGACACUGCGAAGACCAAGCCUUUCAGGGAAGGUCUUAUGUUCAGGAAUAGUUGACCAACAAAUAAGCCGUGUGUGUGUGUGUGUGUGUGUGUGUGUGUGUGUGUGUGUGUGUUUCUGUGCACACUUUUAUUUGAUUACAGUUGGGUGGUUUCUUUCGUUUUUGUUUCUUCUCUUUGGAUGAUAUUGAAUUUUAUUUUAUUUUUUAGGUUUUGGGCCCUUGUAUUUAUGCUUGGUUUUUGGGUUGCUUUUUUGAGAAAGAACUGAAAGUUGUAGCCGGGUGGGAGGAGAGAAUCAGGAAGAGCUUGAGGGAGGGGAUGAUAUGAUUAAAAUAUAUUUACAUUUUAAAAUGGUUUUAAAUACUAAAAAAAAAAUUUAAAAAAGGUAAAAUCUACUUAUACACCCACAGCACGCAUGCGUUUCACCUAAUGCUUGAGAAAGGGCUUCGCUUUCCUUCCAGAUCCCCAUGAGCACUAACCAAAUGCUCUACCCCUGAGCUAGGGUCUCCUCAUCAGGACCAGCAAGCACCAAUAGCUAUAGGUCCUUAGAUGGGCUUGUGAUAUAGAGACAAACCGACACGACUCCAAAGCCACAGAGAGACAGAAAUGACAAGUUUUUUUUAAAAUGUAGUGUUUAAUUUUGAUGUUCUUGAGGACUUCUCUAUUUUCUUUUGCCCUGAGAAGGCAGCUUUCAGACUCCUCUUCAUUUGCUUUGUUUAGUCACAUCUGGGUUGGCUAACCAUCUAUCUGCAUUUAAGAUCUUUGUAUUAUAUUAGCCAUGCACCCCUUAUGCAGUCAGAUCUCAGGCUGUUCCUUCCUUCCUUCCUUACUCCUUUGUGCACCUCUGUCCUUGAUGUUACUGCUCCUGACAGUCUAUCCUGAUGGGAUUUUUCUGUACCUUAUUGUCUGGGACUCAGGAACACAGUCUCCUAACUCCACCCCCAGCCCUGAGCCCUCAGCAUCCCUGAGCUUCCACCGGUGCUGGUGUCCUUCUCCCUGGUCAUCCUCACUAUGCUUCUCAACAUGGCAGCUCCAGCAUCCCACAGAGCAGCAUGGACUGUGCACAUUUCCCAGAAUGCUUUGCUGUUCCAUCCACUCUGGCACGUGAAAGUUUCUGAGAUUUUCAACACCACUCCUUUACUACCGUACUGAACCAUUCUAGGUUUUCUCUUGUACUGGUACUGGACUGGUACUCAGGGCUAUCCUCUGACCAGUUCCAGGAAACCAUCCCCAUAUAGCUGCAUUGGGUCCAGGUGAUCUGACACUGUGUUGUUGUAAUUGCUGUGAUGAAACACACUGCCGAAGAGCAACUAAAGGAGGAAUCAGGUUGUUUUGCUCAGAGUUCUGGUGCUGUAAAGAGAAUCCAUGACUAUGCCAACUCCUACUGAAGACAGCAUUUGAUUGAGGCUUGCUUAUGGUUCCAUGGGUUUAAUUCAUUAUCCUCGUGGGGAGGAACAUGGCAGUAUGCAGGCAGACAUGGUAGCUGACAGUUCUACAUCCAGAUCCAAAGGCAGCAAGAAGCAAGAGUCUCUGGGCUUGGGAUUAGCUUUUUGAAAUCUCAAAGUUCUUCCCCAGUGACACACUUCCUCCAGUAAGGCCAGACCUACUCCAAAAAGGACAUAUUCCUAAUCCCUCUCAGGUAGGGCCAUACCUUAAUGAUCAAACAUUCAAAUAUUUUAGUUUAUGGUGAGUAUUUUUAUUCAAACCACCACCUUGUACCUUGUGGCCCCCUUAGGCUUGAGGCCAUAUCAUAAUGCAAAUAUGCAUUCAGGCCAAUUUAAAAUGUCUCCAUGGUCUAUCACAGUCUCACCCCAUUUAAAAGGCCAGAGUUCAAAGUCUCUUUUGAGACUCAUGGCAACCUCUUCACUGUAACCCCUGCAAAAUUAAAAUUAAAAAGCAGUUCCCAUACUUCUAACCUAAUAUGGCACAGAAUAUGCAUUUCCAUUCUGAAAGGGAGAAAAUAGAGCAGAUCGAGGAAAUACUUGGCCAGAGCAAGAUGGACGACCAGCAGGUCCAACUUCAAACCCCACAUCUCCAUGCCUGUUGUCAAAGUGCUCUUCAGAGCUCCUAAUCUUUCAGCUUUGCUGACUGCAACAGACUUCUGUCCUCCGUGCCGGUUCUCCACCUGUCAGCAGCUCUCCUUGAUAGGUAGGCCAUGACUCUGUCUUCUUUGUAAUCUUGGAGUCUGGAGUGAAAUCCUGGCUUCACCCUCACAGCUUCACACAGUGGCCUUUCUGAGCCUCCACGCAGGCACAUGUCUGACACGUGCCUGGCCUCAGCGGCUUUACUUAGCCCCAAAUGGAUUCCACACCCCCUUCCUGUACCCUUGACUCUAAAGCCAGAACCUCAUGGCCAAAGCAGCCAAGUUUUGCUGCUUCCUUAGGCUGGAACAUGGCUCCUCAUUCACAUACAGUGCAUUCAGCCUUUGUAUCUGAUAGCUUCCUUCAUUGCUUAACCAUCUUUUACAUUCUUUUAACAAAUUAGAAGCUUAGCUGACUGAUGUCUUUCUCUGAGGCCAAACUCCUUUUAUUCCUUUUAGAAUCUAGCUUCUCCUUACAUUUUUUUUAUCUCAUUGAGCACUGGACUCUCUUCUCACACUUCCUGGGGCUCCUUUUCUCCUCAAACUGUACAUUUUGUACUUUUCCCUGCUCAGCUUGCUCCUUUUCAUUAUACAUUGGAAUGAGAGUAACCAAUGGCAGCAUCAUGACCCAGGAAUAUUAAGAGGUCUUGAAAUCAUCUCUGCCCAAGUCAUUAAUCCCAAACUCUUCAAUUUAGCCUGAGGCAGGUUUUAUUUUGUUUUGUUUUUGGUGUUUUGUUUUGUUUUGUUUUGUUUGUUUUGUUUUGUAUUUUUGGACAGGAGCAAAAGGCAACCACAUUUCUUCACCAAAAGAUCACAAGCACGGUUUUAGGCCACUUAAUAAUGUUUUUCUCUUCUGAAAUCUGGUUUAAGCUCCAUUCUAUACUGGAAUGCCAAACAUUUACAAUAAUUAGGGCCAGCUAAUGAAGAGUUUCUAUUGGCUUAAACAACAUUUUUGAGGAGUUAGGUAGUGGAGGAAGCACGGAGGGGAAACUGCAGUCAGGAAAUAAAGUAAUUAAUCCAAAAAAAAUCUGAGCAUUCUUCUCGGCUGAAUUCCCUAGAACAGCAAUGUCCUUUCUGCAAUUUCCUUACUAGAAGGCUCUUACCGCUGGCUCUGGAUGUCUAACUGCUGACUUGUAUCUUUAAAUGGAUCUCUCUCUCUUUAGACGUUUGCUAACUUUCUUCAGGUGAUUGGUUUUCAGGUGUUCAGGUUCCUGCGAAUGGGUGCUGUCUGUAUUAUACAAUGUGUACUUGAAAUUUUCAUAAUAUUUUCAGAGUAUUCUCUUGUAAUUAUAUUACUUUACAAGGUUUUUGGGGCUUCUCUUUGAUUUGUGAUUACACAGUUCUAGUAUAUUUUGUGUUCUUUAGUCAGACUAUACAAUUGUCUAUGAAGUUCAGGAAACUUUUGAAAAAAAUUUGUUUCCAUUGAAUUUCUUUAUCAUUUCUAUUCCAUAUUUAAUUCUUGCUGAGACCUAUUCUAACUUUCUUCUU
rnacentral:lncRNA from 1 species